CUACGGGGUGCUGCAGUAAGGAAUAUUGGUCAAUGGACGCAAGUCUGAACCAGCCAUGCCGCGUGAAGGAUUAAGGUCCUCUGGAUUGUAAACUUCUUUUAUUUGGGACGAAAAAGGGUCUUUCUAGACCAACUGACGGUACCAGAUGAAUAAGCACCGGCUAACUCCGUGCCAGCAGCCGCGGUAAUACGGAGGGUGCAAGCGUUAUCCGGAUUCACUGGGUUUAAAGGGUGCGUAGGCGGGUAGGUAAGUCAGUGGUGAAAUCCUAGAGCUUAACUCUAGAACUGCCAUUGAUACUAUCUAUCUUGAAUAUUGUGGAGGUAAGCGGAAUAUGUCAUGUAGCGGUGAAAUGCUUAGAUAUGACAUAGAACACCUAUUGCGAAGGCAGCUUACUACGCAUAUAUUGACGCUGAGGCACGAAAGCGUGGGGAUCAAACAGGAUUAGAUACCCCGGUAGUC
rnacentral:rRNA from 1 species